rnacentral:misc_RNA from 1 species
GAAAUGCGAUACGUAGUGUGAAUUGCAGAAUUCCGUGAACCAUCGAAUCUUUGAACGCAAAUUGCGCCCGAGGCUUCGGCCGAGGGCAUGUCUGCCUCAGCGUCGGCUUACCCCCUCGUCUCCCCUUUAUUGGGUGAGUACGGAUCUGGCCCUCCCGGCUCCGACUGAACUUGUUCAGCCGUCCGGGUCGGCUGAAGUGCAGAGGCUUGAGCAUGGACCCCGUUUGCAGGGCAAUGGCUUGGUAGGUAGCUUUGCUACGCAGCCUGCCGUCGCCCGAGGGGCCUUUGCUGGCGGCCCAGCAGGAACCGGGGCGUUAAACCCCCGGCGUCUCACACUUUCGACCUGAGCUCAGGCAAGAUUACCCGCUGAACUUAA